rnacentral:rRNA from 1 species
CGGACGGGGGAGUAAUGCUUGGGAAUCUAGCUUAUGAGGGGGGAUAACUACGGGAAACUGUAGCUAAUACCGCGUAAUAUCGGAAGAUUAAAGUGUGGGACCUUCGGGCCACAUGCCAUAGGAUGAGCCCAAGUGGGAUUAGGUAGUUGGUGAGGUAAAGGCUCACCAAGCCGACGAUCUCUAGCUGGUCUGAGAGGAUGACCAGCCACACUGGGACUGAGACACGGCCCAG